CCGAGCUUCUACAGUAAGCGGCUUCCUUUUGGACUUCUGCAAGAAUCGGACUCCGUCCGAACUUCUACAGCGGAUGGAUUUCAGACGAACUUCUACAACGGAUGAGCUCCAGCAGUUGGAUUUCUACAGUAACCGACUGUCUCCGGUGUCUUCCGUACAUCUCCAGCCUUCAACCUUCAACAAUGCCAACCAGACCCCUCCAACGGAUAAAUUCUCUCCAGACCCCUCCAGCAGUCGACCUUCCACAGUGUCCUCCAGACUCCUUCAACGGAUGAACUUUCACAACACCUUCCAGACUCUUCUAUCGAUCAACCUUCUAUAGCACCUUUCGAAUUUCGCUAUCGAUCGACCUUCUGUAGGAUUCCUCAUGCAACCGAACCUCUCCAGCGGAUAGUCUUCAGACAAGCUUUUACAUCAGACAAAUUUCAAACGGACUUCUCUAGCAAUCGAACUCCAGUCAGAUUCCUCCAACAGAAAGUUUUCAUCC
rnacentral:lncRNA from 1 species